rnacentral:rRNA from 1 species
AUUGAACGCUGGCGGCAGGCCUAACACAUGCAAGUCGAGCGAGCGGCGGACGGGUGAGUAAUGCCUGGGAAUUGUCCAGUCGAGGGGGAUAACAGUUGGAAACGACUGCUAAUACCGCAUACGAUUGGAUUGCGCAGGUGGGAUUAGACAUUGGGUGAGGUAAUGGCUCACCAAGGCGACGAUCCCUAGAUGGUCUGAGAGGAGGAUCAGCAACACUGGAACUGAGACACGGGCCAGACGCCUACGGGAGGCAGCAGUGGGGAAUCUUGCGCAAUGGGGGAAACCCUGAUGGAGCCAUGCCGCGUGUGUGAAGAAGGCCUUCGGUUUGUAAAGCCCUUUCAGCGAGGAGGCGUUACUCACACAAGAAGCACCGGCUAACUCCGUGCCAGCCGCCGCGGUAAUUC